rnacentral:rRNA from 1 species
UACGUAGGUCCCGAGCGUUGUCCGGAUUUAUUGGGCGUAAAGCGAGUGCAGGUGGUUUAUUAAGUCUGGUGUAAAAGGCAGUGGCUCAACCAUUGUAUGCAUUGGAAACUGGUAGACUUGAGUGCAGGAGAGGAGAGUGGAAUACCAUGUGUAGCGGUGAAAUGCGUAGAUAUAUGGAGGAACACCGGUGGCGAAAGCGGCUCUCUGGCCUGUAACUGACACUGAGGCUCGAAAGCGUGGGGAGCAAACAGG